rnacentral:rRNA from 1 species
AUGCUUAACACAUGCAAGUCGAACGGUAGCAGGCCUUCGGGCGCUGACGAGUGGCGGACGGGUGAGUAACGCGUAGGAAUCUGCCUCAUAGUGGGGGACAACGUGGGGAAACUCACGCUAAUACCGCAUACGCCCUACGGGGGAAAGCGGGGGAUCUUCGGACCUCGCGCUAUGAGAUGAGCCUGCGUUAGAUUAGCUAGUUGGUAGGGUAAAGGCCUACCAAGGCGACGAUCUAUAGCUGGUCUGAGAGGACGAUCAGCCACACUGGGACUGAGACACGGCCCAGACUCCUACGGGAGGCAGCAGUGGGGAAUAUUGGACAAUGGGCGCAAGCCUGAUCCAGCAAUACCGCGUGUGUGAAGAAGGCCUUAGGGUUGUAAAGCACUUUCAAUUGGGAGGAAAACCUGUCGGUCAAUACCCGGCAGCUUGACAUUACCUUUAGAAGAAGCACCGGCUAACUCCGUGCCAGCAGCCGCGGUAAUACGGAGGGUGCGAGCGUUAAUCGGAAUUACUGGGCGUAAAGCGUGCGUAGGCGGUUGUUUAAGUCAGAUGUGAAAGCCCCGGGCUUAACCUGGGAACUGCAUUUGAUACUGGGCAACUAGAGUUGAGUAGAGGGGAGUGGAAUUUCAGGUGUAGCGGUGAAAUGCGUAGAUAUCUGAAGGANCACCAGUGG